CAGCCGCCGCGGUAACACGGAGGGUGCAAGCGUUAAUCGGAAUUACUGGGCGUAAAGCGCACGCAGGCGGUCUGACAAGUCAGAUGUGAAAUCCCCGGGCUUAACCUGGGAACUGCAUUUGAAACUGUUAGGCUGGAGUCUUGUAGAGGGGGGUAGAAUUCCAGGUGUAGCGGUGAAAUGCGUAGAGAUCUGGAGGAAUACCGGUGGCGAAGGCGGCCCCCUGGACAAAGACUGACGCUCAGGUGCGAAAGCGUGGGGAGCAAACAGGAUUAGAUACCCCUGUAGUCCCUGUCUCUUAUAC
rnacentral:rRNA from 1 species